rnacentral:snRNA from 1 species
GGAUGUUAGGGUAAUCUGGCUGCAAUAUCUGUCACCAUUUUGAUUGCUAGGAUUAACAUGGCAGUUUUGGUUGACUAGGUGGGUGUCCCCUUCCUCCCUCACUACUCCAUGUGCAAUCCUCCUGAAGCUGCAUGCUUGGUCGAAAAGGAUAACUAUCCCAGACAGGAGUGUGCCAUUCUUUUAUCACACAUAGGCAAAAUCUUCAAAGAGAUGUCCCAGAGAAAGUCUAACUAAAGUGCCACUAGAAAUUGCCUUGAAAAAGUAUGCUGCACAUCCAGUGCUCUUCAAAGUGGUGGCGUGCUGUCUGCAUUCCUAC